UAUAAAUCUUUUUUUAGCAUGUAUAUACCGGGUUAUCAAGUUACAGCAAAAUUUAUAGAAAGAUGUUUUCACCUACUAUCAUGAAUAAUACACAUUAGAAAAAAAUGUUACCAGCUGAUGAUUAGCAAUAGAAAUUGAAACCUAAAAAGCACUAUAACAUAAGGCAUCUUUAUAUUGUAAAAUUCCAUUAUUAUUUACCUUCUUCCUGAUCUUUGAACUUUGACACUCCCUCUUUGCACCUCCAGUGAUUUCAAGUGUAUUUACCACUGAUUCUGUUACAGUUUUUUAAAGGAGGUUUCAAAGCUGUAGAAUUAUGAAACGUUACUGAAUACAGUUUAUUUCUUGAACUUCAAAUUGACUUUGUCUGCUUUUCCCACAGCCAACCUCUGGGUUAUUACGCAGCACCUCCGUAUCACUCCAAAGCUCACCUUACACAACCCCGCAACCUUCACUUACAAGAGGAAGAAGCUUAUCUACUGACCACACUGCCUGGAUUGAUGGACAAGCUCCAGAGACAGGUAUUGGGUCAGCUGGAGUGGAUAAUUUAUUCCACAUGGCAGGUAGUUUGGGCAAAGCUGUUGGUACUUUAGUUAAUGUAAUGACUGAUGAUGAAGGUGGAAGUGGUUCAGAAGAAGACGUAGAACAUUGAUGAAUAAUAGUUUAGUGUUUAUUUGUUGUUGUUUUUUAUUUCAAUGGAACAUUAUGGAGAUAGUCUUGUUUACUUAAGCAGGUUGGAGAUAAAAAUAUGAUAUUGUGGUUCAAAUGAACUAACUACAUUGUUUCUAUUAGCCUUUCAUUAAUAUAUAUUGUUUCCAAUUUUGUGCUACAAACUUGCUUAUUUCGAAAAAGAGAAAGUCCACUUAAAAUGUUAUUCUAGCUUCCAACUUUCCUCCCACCAGCUGCUUGACUGCCAGUUUGCUUAGACAGAUGUGUUUGUGGCUAGACAGAACUGCUGUGGUAUGAUUUUGUAUUCAGUAUUGUUCUUUGGAAUGCCUUCCAUAAAACCUUGUGGUUUCCAGUUAGUUUCUUAUAUUGUAAUUUAUUAUUUUAUUACAAGUUACAGCUUUUACAGUAAGGAAAAAUAUUAUUUAGAACAGGUACGACAUUUCAGUCAUUGGUGCGAUAAUUCUUGUGUACUUGAGAAUGAUCGCACCAGUGAUCAAAACAUUGUGCCUUUUCUAGAUGAUAUUUUUUCUUCCUGUAAAAGCUGUAACUUGUAAUAAAAUAAUCAGUAAUUAAACUCAAAACGAAACUAUGAAAUCCUUUUUGUUUUGUCAUUUCUUAAGUUGUGACGUGUAGGUAAAUUAAGUUGUAUUUUUUUCAUGUGUAAAUUAUAUUUUUAAUUGUUCGUAGAUCAAACAAUUUUUUUUUAUAUUUGGUCAUGAAUUCAUUUCACAGUUUACAUACUUUUAUUAUGAAUUCAAUUAAACUUUUGGUAUUUCUGGUUUUCACAAGUUAUUUGUCCACCUAAAACUGUAAUCGUUUAUAAGUUGAAAUUCCUGCUGGAGCAUGCAGUACCAUCCUUAUUACCGAUAGAAGUUCUUUUAUAUUAUUAUUUGAAAUUCAUUGCACCAACAACAGUCAUUUACUUCCCUUGAAUGCAGAAAUCGUUUUGAAAAUUUAUAGUAGUGCUGCCCUUGAUGAGAGAAUUAAUAUAGUGUAAACUUAUCAUCAUGUUAAGCUGUAGUAAUAUGAUUAUGUAAUAUUAUGUAUUGGACAAAUAAUUUGUGGCUAUCCUGUAUUUUUUACCCAAGUAGCGUUUGGAUAAUUAUAAAAAAAUAUAUCCUAAUUAAAUAAACCACAUAGUUAUUUUAUAAUGUUUUAAAAUUAACUAUACUUGAAAGGAAAUUAUCCAACUUUAUUUCAAAAGAAGAAACACAAGAAGACGAGCUUAUUUUGGAUGCUUGAAAG